GAUGAACGCUGGCGGCGUGCCUAAUACAUGCAAGUCGAGCGAACUGAUGAGGAGCUUGCUCCUCUGACGUUAGCGGCGGACGGGUGAGUAACACGUGGAUAACCUACCUAUAAGACUGGGAUAACUUCGGGAAACCGGAGCUAAUACCGGAUAAUAUAUUGAACCGCAUGGUUCAAUAGUGAAAGACGGUUUUGCUGUCACUUAUAGAUGGAUCCGCGCCGCAUUAGCUAGUUGGUAAGGUAACGGCUUACCAAGGCAACGAUGCGUAGCCGACCUGAGAGGGUGAUCGGCCACACUGGAACUGAGACACGGUCCAGACUCCUACGGGAGGCAGCAGUAGGGAAUCUUCCGCAAUGGGCGAAAGCUUGACGGAGCAACGCCGCGUGAGUGAUGAAGGUCUUCGGAUCGUAAAACUCUGUUAUUAGGGAAGAACAAAUGUGUAAGUAACUAUGCACGUCUUGACGGUACCUAAUCAGAAAGCCACGGCUAACUACGUG
rnacentral:rRNA from 1 species